rnacentral:rRNA from 1 species
AGGUUGACCUCGGAUCAGGUAGGGAUACCCGCUGAACUUAAGCAUAUCAAAAGGCGGAGGAA